GUCAAAUCCAAAAUUUUUUACACAAAUUUAUAAGUAUUUUUACUAUUUGGCCCC
rnacentral:tRNA from 1 species